AGUGAACGCUGGCGGCAUGCUUUACACAUGCAAGUCGAACGGCAGCGCGGGCUUCGGCCGGGCGGCGGGUGGCGAACGGGUGAGUAAGACAGCAGAACGUGCCCAGCAGCGGGGGAGAGCUGGGCGAAGGCCGGAUUAAUACGCCAUACGAGCUGAGGGUGAAAGGGGGGGAUCUUCGGACCUUGCGCUCUUGGAGCGGCCGAUGGCAGAUUAGCUAGUUGGUGGGGUAAAGGCCUACCAAGUCGACGAUCUGUAGCUGGUCUGAGAGGACGACCAGCCACACUGGGACUGAGACACGGCCCAGACUCCUACGGGAGGCAGCAGUGGGGAAUUUUGGACAAUGGGCGAAAGCCUGAUCCAGCAAUGCCGCGUGUGUGACGAAGGCCUUCGGGUUGUAAAGCACUUUUGGCGGGAACGAAAAGGACUGUGCCAAUACCACGGUUCGAUGACGGUACCCGCAGAAUAAGCACCGGCUAACUACGUG
rnacentral:rRNA from 1 species